rfam:Schistosoma rodhaini strain Burundi genome assembly, scaffold: SROB_scaffold0011697
AUCCGGGUGACGAGUCCCAAAUAGGAAGAAACGCGCUUCCUGGAU